AUAUUCCAAGAGACCUGCUUGGAUAUCAAAAGUGCAUAAGAUUGGUAUAACGCUCAUGUGAAGCGGUGGAAAUUGAAGAAAAGUUGAGCUUAUACAUACACACAUGUGCAGUGCAAAAGGCUGCAACUCUUAACCUGCGAAGCUGUGGAAAUUGAUUUCUCCUAGAAGAUUCAUUUGUUCAGUGCACCGCUCGGAUAACAAUUGCUAGCAUUCAAGCAAUAUAGCCUCUGCAACUUCCAAAACUUCCGCUAAUUUGUUCGCUUGCUCAGCUAUUGGAAAGAUUUCUAAUGUGUUGUAAAAGAGAGUAGGUUAGUUGGUGCACAAAGCCAUGUCUAUAUAUAUAUAGAUAUAUGUGUUCUUUGUUCUAUUUCGCUUCUUGUCUUGAUUCAACUUCUUUGUUUCUCGGUUCACAAAUUACUGCCCCAAAUCCAUAAUCUGGUGGAUUUUAAAUGGAGUUUUGAGCCACUUUAGCUUGAUAGACAUUUCAGAUUCUUGGAUGGAGAAUAUCAAUGAAAUUGAACAAUUUACACCUCUUAAUAUCUCACGACUUGAGGAACAAGCUUGGGUGAAAAGCACACCGCCUAAUCUGUAGCGGCAUAGGUGGCUUGAAUUGAUGAAGAGCUUGCUGGAGAAGCACCGCAUACAGCUCAGCUGGUGUCAUUGUAGCUUCCCCAGCAAUCUUCAACGAGGUUGAUUUCAUAAUUUCCUGUUUGUUAGAUGCACUGUUGUUAGACUCAAAUCUAACGCUCCUGCUUGCCUUCUAACAUUUUCCAAGAGACCUGCUUGGAUAUAAAAAGUGCAUAAGCUUGGUAUAACGCUACUACGAAGCGGUGGAAAUUGAAGAAAAGUUGAGCUUAUAUAUACACACAUGUGCAGUUCAAAAGGCUGCAACUCUUAACCUGCGAAGCUGUGGAAAUUGAUUUCUCCUAGAAGAUUCAUUUGUUCGGUGCACCGCUCGGAUAACAAUUGUUAGCAUUCAAGCAAUAUGGCCUCAGCAACUACCAAAACUUCAGCUAAUUUGUUGGCUUGCUCAGCUGCUGGAAAGAUUUCUAAUGUGUUGUAAAAGAGAGUCGGUUAGUUGGUUCACAAAGCCAUGUCUAUAUAUAUAUAUAGAUAGAUAAGUGUGUAUACUCUUUGUUCUGUUUUGUUUCUUGUCUUGGUUCAACUUCUUUGUUUCUCAGUUCACAGAUUACUGCCCCAAAUUUGUUUCUCAGUUCACAGAUUACUGCCCCCAAAUCUACAAUCUGGUAUGUAAUUUAGAACUUUUCUACCCCUUUUUUUUGCUAUAUAUGGAUGUAUUGA